GAUGAACGCUGGCGGCGUGCCUAAUACAUGCAAGUCGAGCGAACGGACGAGAAGCUUGCUUUUCUGAUGUUAGCGGCGGACGGGUGAGUAACACGUGGAUAACCUACCUAUAAGACUGGGAUAACUUCGGGAAACCGGAGCUAAUACCGGAUAAUAUUUUGAACCGCAUGGUUCAAAAGUGAAAGACGGUCUUGCUGUCACUUAUAGAUGGAUCCGCGCUGCAUUAGCUAGUUGGUAAGGUAACGGCUUACCAAGGCAACGAUGCAUAGCCGACCUGAGAGGGUGAUCGGCCACACGGGAACUGAGACACGGUCCAGACUCCUACGGGAGGCAGCAGUAGGGAAUCUUCCGCAAUGGGCGAAAGCCUGACGGAGCAACGCCGCGUGAGUGAUGAAGGUCUUCGGAUCGUAAAACUCUGUUAUUAGGGAAGAACAUAUGUGUAAGUAACUGUGCACAUCUUGACGGUACCUAGUCAGAAAGCCACGGCUAACUACGUG
rnacentral:rRNA from 1 species